AUGGGCAACACCUGUGGGGAGACCGGCUCUCACUCCCUGAGUGCGUCCCGCAGACGGCUGGCAGAGUGUCUCCUGGUCCUCUCUUCCCUAAAGCUCCGGGAAGGCGGCCAGGAGCCCGGUCACCUCACCCCUGUGCGGCAGUCCUGUGCAAGCAUGUCUCUUCUGCGCUCACCUUCUGGCCGGAGGCAACAGCAGGGUCCUCUUCGUGAAGGAGACACCCAGGGGCUGAGUAUCAGGGAACAAAUGCAUUCAUCAUGGCAGGGCCCGUGUGCCAAGGCGCAAUAAAGACCAUGCUCGCCGCGGCGGGGAGCGUGGGGACCUCGCCGCAGACCACACGCGCCGGAGUCGCUCUCUGAAGUCUCAUUACUAAGUAUGUGUGUAUGUAGCGGGGGGUGAUGGAGGGGGUUCCAUCUGACUUUCUCUGAAAACAUGCAUUUAGAAAUAAAUGUAUUUACACUUCACUUUAUGUUUUCAAAAAGGAGGAGGGUGGAAUCUUUGGACCAGAGUCGUUACAGAUUAAAAACACACACACACGCACCCGGACACAGACACGCACACACACACACAUGCACGCACGCACAAAAGCUUUCAGGGAGAAACAGAAAAUAAUGUUUAGCAAUUACGGUCCACAGCUGCUGUGGUUCCAAUGUGCGCGUUCUACACAGGUGCGGCCAUUAUAACAAUGAAUAGCGCGCAUUAAAGGUGCCAUCCAUAGGGGUAAUAAUACUGGGGUUGAAAAGGUAUUUUCAUUUGCGGCCUGAUGUUAGGCAGAAAAUAAAAUAAGGCGUUUCACAGCCAGCCUGAUGGCUCAGCUGCCACACGGGAGGCCCAAGCCUGAGAUUAAUCUAGGACUCUUAUGUGAGCAGCUGAUGGUGGGAACCUGGCAAUGGGUACCUGGAGGGACCACCAGCUCGCUCCCCGAUUCUUCAAAAAGCCUGCUGUUUGGGGAAACUGAGGCACCCCGCAGUUUAUAAUGUGAGCAGCAUCAGCCGGUGUGAGAUCCAGCCCUCCCUACCACCCACUAGUCUCUGGAUGCUGGAAAUGUUGGGGAAAAUAUUACAGAGACAGCGUCCGAAUGGAUGGAGGGGGAGAAUGAACCCCGCAGGGGAGCGGGGAGGAUUCUCUACCUCGGGCCUCCUCUCUCUGGCUGCUGUCUCCGUACCCCAGAAACGCCCUUCCCAGGGCGCGGCUUCCAAGGCUCGGGCAGCCUGUGUUUCUCACUUCUCCCUUUGAAUGCCCAGCAGCUAAUGGGUACCAUAUUCUCCCGAAUUCACUUGCCAGAAUUUCUCAAAUUGCUAAACUUGUCUGCCUGGGUGGAAAAAAAAAGUCUUUAGGCAAUUCCUACAGGUUGAUAGCUGGAAAGCUGAGGAAGGGGUGCAGAGGACUGGGGUUGGGGGGAGGGUGGUGAUGAGAGAGUGAGCUCUAGAAUCGGAAAAAAAAAAAAAGACCAGAUCCCAGUGCCAUCACAUGGGAGCUCCGUGACCAUGGGAACCCUAUGUCAACCCCCUGAACUGCUGCAAAAUGGGGGUGUUAGGAUCUACCGCAGAGGACAGUAAGAAGUUCCAGUGAGACCAAGGAUUUGAAGACUACACCAAGCCCAGACCAAUAGUUGGUGAGUAGCUGUCAUUUCUCCAUGUUUAUUUUCCUGAGUGGGUCUGUGGAUAACUUGAGUGAUUUUUUGGCAAGAAAUGGAAAUCUACAUCAAGCAGAAAAAAAGACAUUAAUAGCUGUGUACAUAUUACUCAGUACCGUAGUCCACUUCAGAGCAAAGAUGGUAGGCUGCCUGGAGGUGGUGGUUUUUCAAGUUUAAAGCUCAGUGAAGUCAUUGUUUUCAUCUUGUCUACUUUUAACAGGGGGUAAAAACAAACAAUAAAAUAGUGCAUGUUGUGGGGUGAAUUUAAAACAAAAUAAGGCGUUCACAGCCAGCCUGAUGGCUCAGCUGCCACACGGGAGGCCCAAGCCUGAGAUUAAUCUAGGACUCUUAUGUGAGCAGCUGAUGGUGGGAACCUGGCAAUGGG
rnacentral:lncRNA from 1 species